GGCCCGGUAGCGGAUGGUCCGCGCCUGCUUCAAGUACAAGAGUGGAAUUGCAUUCGAAUGCGGGAGUCGCUCGUUCGACUCGAGCCCGGGCCU